rnacentral:rRNA from 1 species
GACGUAGGGCGCGAGCGUUGUCCGGAUUUAUUGGGCGUAAAGAGCUCGUAGGCGGCUUGUCGCGUCGACUGUGAAAUCCCGCGGCUCAACCGCGGGUCUGCAGUCGAUACGGGCAGGCUAGAGUUCAGUAGGGGAGACUGGAAUUCCUGGUGUAGCGGUGAAAUGCGCAGAUAUCAGGAGGAACACCGAUGGCGAAGGCAGGUCUCUGGGCCGAUACUGACGCUGAGGAGCGAAAGCGUGGGGAGCGAACAGG